rnacentral:rRNA from 1 species
UACAGAGGUCCCAAGCGUUGUUCGGAUUCACUGGGCGUAAAGGGUGCGUAGGUGGUUGUGUAAGUCUGAUGUGAAAUCUCCGGGCUCAACCCGGAAAUGGCAUUGGAUACUACAUGGCUUGAGGGUUGGAGGGGGGACUGGAAUUCUCGGUGUAGCAGUGAAAUGCGUAGAUAUCGAGAGGAACACCAGUGGCGAAGGCGAGUCCCUGGACAACACCUGACACUGAGGCACGAAAGCUAGGGGAGCAAACAGG